rnacentral:rRNA from 1 species
CCUACGGGGCGCAGCAGUGGGGAAUAUUGCACAAUGGAGGGAACUCUGAUGCAGCGACGCCGCGUGAGUGAAGAAGUAAUUCGUUAUGUAAAGCUCUAUCAGCAGGGAAGAAAGUGACGGUACCUGAAAAAGAAGCUCCGGCUAACUACGUGCCAGCAGCCGCGGUAAUACGUAGGGGGCAAGCGUUAUCCGGAUUUACUGGGUGUAAAGGGAGCGUAGACGGCGUGCCAAGUCUGAUGUGAAAGGCCGGGGCUCAACCCCGGGACUGCAUUGGAAACUGGCAUGCUGGAGUGCCGGAGGGGCAA